CAGUGAAUUAGAAUAAUUGUAUUGACGUUUCAAAUGUCUAUGGAGAUUCUUAAUCAUCCAGGUCAUGGUUAUCCCAAAGGUGCUUUUCCAAAAGGCAACUGGACUUUUCAUUGAAAAUACUGAUACAGAUAAACCCUCAACCAGCUUCAACAACUUUCAGAGAACUAACAACAGAUCCUCAGAGUGCUGUCAAACAUGACUGCAAAUCCUUCCAUUGCCCACCAGUCAGUUAGAAAUGAAGAAGCUUCUUGGGUGAGAAGUGAAACAUCAAGAGAAAAAAUCAAGAAAGUCCACUUGCCUUUUGGAAAGUACCUUUGGGACAUUGACAUUUCAAGUGUAAAAUAUAAGCUCAGACUUUUACCAGUAAAUAUCGGUUUAUUCCUGAAACCAGAAGCCCUAAACAUAUCUUUGUUUAUAAGGAAACACAUAGGUGUCCUACAUGAAUUACGAAAACCCUCCACCAUAUCCUGGCCCGGGCCCAACUGCCCCUUACCCACCAUAUACUCAACAACCAUCAGGCCCUGGUCCGUAUCCUGCCUAUCAGCCGGGGCCUACAGGGCCAUAUCCAGCUGGUCAACCAGGCUACAAUGGUUACCCACCAUACGGAUGGCAGAAUGCUCCACCUCCAGGACCAGUCUAUGCAGAUGGACCUAAAAAUACAGUGUAUGUUGUGGAAGAACAGAGAAGAGAUACCUCUGGUGAAAGUACCUGCCUGACAGCAUGUUGGACUGCAUUGUGCUGCUGCUGCCUUUGGGACAUGCUGACCUGAGAUUCCUGAGAAGCAAAGAGCCUUUUCGAUACCUCUCUCUCGGAGUGCUAUGCAGUCUCUUCCUUCUCCCCCUCCUGCUUCUCUUGUCUUUUCUUUUCGGCAGCUUUUUAGUACUGUAAUAAAUGAGAUGCUUUGUCCGAGCAUAACAUGCCUGCCAGAGUUGGAUGCAUGAAGCUGAAUGCAUCCUUUUUGAUUUGAGUGGAGAAUCCCCCUCCCCUCUUCUUGAUUGUUCUUUAAAUAAUGUACUAUAUUUUGUUUAACAAGCUUUUACUAUAAAUUAUGUAUUCAUAAUUUACACAUACUUAGGAAUGGAGUAAAAUGCAAUAAUUUAAGGCAUUUUUGGUUUUCUUACUUGCUUAAUUUUCUGUUUUAAUAAACUUUGUCCAAUAAAAUAUGAUCCAGAAAUUGAUAAGGCACAAAUCAUUUUUUUUCCUCAAAAUGUUUAGAACACUAAAAAUGCCAGUUAUUUGCAGACUGGCUCUCAAAGAUAGGAUAAAAGAUGAUUGCAAUCUUUUUGUGUCAUCUAUAAUUAUCUAAGAGAAGAACCAGUGGGGUGAACUGGAUCUCCCUCUUUAUAAUGUAAGUCAAUCUUCAGCCAAAGAAGUUCACUGGGUGAUUUUUGGCCAGUUUAUCUCUCUCAUCUUAGCUUGUUUCACAAGUAUGCUUGCAAGGAAAAAUGGAAGAAUAUAACAUUAUUGGACUAAUUGCUGUCUAGGAGCUAGGAGCAAGGUCAUUGCUUUUAUUAGGAUAGUCAAAUUCAUGAAGAAUUACCUCCAGAAUCAAAACCAUAUGUCUUAAAGGCCAAGGCUUCCUGGAUUCAAUAAGAAAAGAUGAUUCAGGGCCAAUAGUUGCCCACAUAUUCA
rnacentral:lncRNA from 1 species